AUGUUAAUUAAAUCCUCUCUCUUCCCCCCUCGCCCCCUCCCCCCCUCUCUCUCUCUCUCUCUCUUCCUCUCCCACUCUCCCCACAAUGACCAGACGAAGCCUUAAUGGAAGACGAAAGGCAAAAUCCGAAAUACAUACCCACGCCCACACCCUUUCGUUGUUAUUCUUUUUUGGAACGCUGUCUUGCAAAUUAUAGGAAAGUUUAGUAAUUGCAAUUUAAGUUCGUGGAAUCGUAUUUGCUGUCAAGCCUUUUAAUUAUGCUCAGAGAAGAGGAUUUUUCUAUUUAAGCGAAUAUAAGUGGAGUGAACAUUGACUGAUGACCAAAGAGAUGAAUUUGAGGACGUGCUACAUGUGUUGACUUUAGAAAGAACCCAUAUUAAAGAAACUAUAAGUUUUUCCUUGGAUAAUACUGAUACGGCUAGAGAGCUAAUUGUUUAGCUGAUUUUACUGUAAUUUGUUUUUUUGCUCGUUGAAUAAGAUCUCGAGCCGCGUAAUGCCUUUUAAGCUAUGAACUUAAUCUCAAUUUAAGAUUGGCUCUGGAAUAGCAUGGGCAAUGAGGCUAAAAUUGUUAAUUAUGUAUUCAAGUUCUAGACUAUCCAUUUGAUACAUUAUAAUUUUUUGUACGUAGCCGAUGGAGGUAGUGUUGCAGGCAAAAGAUGCACUGGAAUCGGCUUAUAGAGGAAAAGAUGCUGUCAAGUCAAUCUGGUUCUUGUUUAUUCAAAAAUAUUUCAUGAUUUUGUGGUCAACAUAUCUGAGGAAAUUCUGAAGGUUAAAAAAGAAGUUGAAACUGAGUUUUCUGGUGUUGAUCCAAGUUGGGGUCAUGGGGAAAGCAAUGUUCCAAAUCAGGCUCAAGGUCGUUAUUCUGAAACAUAUAACCGUAACUGGCGAAAUUGGCCUGCACAGUUUCUUGUUACUGGAGAGAGAUCCUAGGAAGCUAUUCGAGACAGAGACUUUGGUGGUCGGUUUGAUUCUAGGCAACAAGAAGUAAACCAAUACAAUAGGCAAGAGCAGCUGAGGUUGCAGUUUGCAAGAUCUUAAAACCAUGGGGUAAUUAAAGAUAAUCCUUAAUACUGGUGUUUUCUUGCACUUAAUCUUUGUUUUUGAGUGCCUGUGUGAACUAAAAGCAUGUUGGACAUGUUUAUAAUGGUUUAAAUUAUAAAUAAAUAGAAAUAAGUAGUGGAUAAAUAGAUAGUGGUUGUGUGUACCUCGAAAUGAGUGGAUAAUUAGUGUGAGGGUUUGUAAACAGUUUAUAUACAUUAGCCAAACAUAGGCUUAAGUACCUGAUCCAAAUCAACAAGCUAUCCUAUCAUUUUCUUUUGUAAAAUAUAGAAAAAAAGUUAGUAAGUUCCACGAAAUCUUGUAUGUACUAUUUGUUAGAUCAAAAGAUACUGUUUUAUUACAAUUCAAUAUUAUUGGAA